rnacentral:rRNA from 1 species
GAUGAACGCUGGCGGCGUGCCUAAUACAUGCAAGUCGAGCGAACAGACGAGGAGCUUGCUCCUCUGACGUUAGCGGCGGACGGGUGAGUAACACGUGGAUAACCUACCUAUAAGACUGGGAUAACUUCGGGAAACCGGAUCUAAUACCGGAUAAUAUAUUGAACCGCAUGGUUCACUAGUGAAAGACGGUUUUGCUGUCACUUAUAGAUGGAUCCGCGCCGCAUUAGCUAGUUGGUAAGGUAACGGCUUACCAAGGCGACGAUGCGUAGCCGACCUGAGAGGGUGAUCGGCCACACUGGAACUGAGACACGGUCCAGACUCCUACGGGAGGCAGCAGUAGGGAAUCUUCCGCAAUGGGCGAAAGCCUGACGGAGCAACGCCGCGUGAGUGAUGAAGGUCUUCGGAUCGUAAAACUCUGUUAUUAGGGAAGAACAAAUGUGUAAGUAACUAUGCACGUCUUGACGGUACCUAAUCAGAAAGCCACGGCUAACUACGUG